rnacentral:rRNA from 1 species
GAUGAACGCUGGCGGCGUGCCUAAUACAUGCAAGUCGAGCGAACGGACGAGAAGCUUGCUUCUCUGAUGUUAGCGGCGGACGGGUGAGUAACACGUGGAUAACCUACCUAUAAGACUGGGAUAACUUCGGGAAACCGGAGCUAAUACCGGAUGAUAUUUUGAACCGCAUGGUUCAAAAGUGAAAGACGGUCUUGCUGUCACUUAUAGAUGGAUCCGCGCUGCAUUAGCUAGUUGGUAAGGUAACGGCUUACCAAGGCAACGAUGCAUAGCCGACCUGAGAGGGUGAUCGGCCACACUGGAACUGAGACACGGUCCAGACUCCUACGGGAGGCAGCAGUAGGGAAUCUUCCGCAAUGGGCGAAAGCCUGACGGAGCAACGCCGCGUGAGUGAUGAAGGUCUUCGGAUCGUAAAACUCUGUUAUUAGGGAAGAACAUAUGUGUAAGUAACUGUGCACAUCCUGACGGUACCUAAUCAGAAGCCACGGCUAACUACGUG